rnacentral:rRNA from 1 species
AUGCUGCAAGCUCUAAAGCUGCCCCCUGCAACUUACCAGCACAAAAUAUACCCAGGCGGAAAGAAUCGUGUGACAGUGACUUUCAUUUCUACUUUGGAAUUGCUAGAUGGUUCACUUGUCCCGAGUUCUAUACCAGGUGCAAUCUUAGAUAGCUAUGAAGAUGCAGAAGACAGUGCUGCUAUGGAGGCUAUUAGAUUCAUGGAGAAUGCAUAUGGCAAAGAAAUGAGGGGCUACCACUACACCCAUGUCAAGAGGCUAGAAAAUCAAGUGACGCACCUGGUGGUUGACUUCAUCCAAUGA